UACAAGGUUGUCCUAACAAGUCUGAUACAAUCAUGAUAUAACAAGAAUGUUACAAGGUUGUAACAAUAUUGUUACAUCAUGACUGUAUCGGACUUGUUGGAACAACCUUGCA